AUGGAAGGAUCUUUUCUUCCAUCUCAGAACUCAAUUUAUCCUCAGCAGCAUUGCAUUCAUUUAGGGCAAUUUGCUUCAGUUCCCUUAAUUCUACUAUGAGGUCACUAUAACUACAAUCAUAAAAUCUAAAGCUUAAGGCACAACCAUAAUCAUCUGAUACGAAUGAUGAGCUAAGCCCACCUGCCCAAAUACUUUUCUGGUUUAUUCUAGAAGGGGAAAAAGAGCACUAGAAGACUCAAGAUAAAGUUUUUUCUGAUCAACGGAUAAUUAUGCAAUAUAUGAAGAUGAAGAUUCUCAUACAACUUAGGAAUUAUAUUCAUUAU
rnacentral:misc_RNA from 1 species